rnacentral:misc_RNA from 1 species
GUGGAACUCCUGUUCUGCCCUGAGCAAUUACAGCCACGCUGCUUCCAUAUGGAUACGUUGAGUCUCCCAUAGUGCCAGGAGCUGCUGGAAGAUGAGAUCUCUGGUAACUGUCUAUAUGGGCCGGUAGAUGCAUAGGAGGAGCCGGAUACAUGGGAUUUGAGUUCAAGUAGGGGUGACCAUAAGGAUCAAUACCUCGAGCUCUUCUCUCGGCAAUUACCACCUGAGCACGCAAUCUCUCCACUUCGUUGGCCAUGUCAAUCAAUUCUUUCUCUGUGAGUUUCAUUUGCU